rnacentral:tRNA from 1 species
UCCUCCGUGGCGCAAUCGGAUAGCGCGUCUGACUGUUACCACAAAAGCAAUCAGGAGGUUGGAAGUUCGAGCCUUCCCGGGGGAG